rnacentral:lncRNA from 1 species
UGGUUCCCACUGUUUCUAACCACCAGGUGGCCACAGAGUGCAUGUGCUAUGAGGGACCCGUCCGACAUAUACCCUCCCAGAAGAGCAGGAAAGGGGGUUCAUAAAGAUGUUCUUCUGAUGGGGAGUGUCCUAUAAGGCCACCUUCACAUGGGAGGAUCGCAGCGCAUUUCGGCCAAGACAGGUGAGACUGCGGUUCUGACCUGCGGGCCUCGAUGAAUUGCGUUAGGACACCUGGGCUCCGGGAGAGCCGUUCCACUCCGCAAAGUAAGCGUGUUAUGUCUACAACCCAACGGGGACGCGCUAAGAGCCCCAAAGGCCCUGCUUUCAUCCCAAAGAACAGCCCCCGCCUGCGUAGUUUGUACCCGGCUCUAUGAGCUACAUUAUUGAGCAGGGGGUGUGUGAUUUGGUUUUAUGUGAAGCUGCCUUCCCUAAGAAGUUGGCUUUUGCCUACCUAGAAGAUUUGCACUCAGAAUUUGAUGAACAGCAUGGAAAGAAGGUGCCCACUGUGUCCCAACCCUAUUCCUUUAUUGAAUUUGAUACUUUCAUUCAGAAAACCAAGAAGCUCUACAUUGACAGUUGUGCUUGAAGAAACCUAGGCUCCAUCAACACUGAAUUGCAAGAUGUGCAGAGGCUCAUGGUGGCCAAUAUCGAAGAAGUGUUACAACGAGGAGAAGCACUCUCAGCAUUGGAUUCAAAGGCUAACAAUUUGUCCAGUCUGUCCAAGAAAUACCGCCAGGAUGCGAAGUACUUGAACAUGCGUUCCACUUACGCCAAACUUGCAGCAGUAGCUGUAUUUUUCAUCAUGUUAAUAGUGUAUGUCCGAUUCUGGUGGCUGUGAAAUAAUGAAUACAGUCACUGGUAAGGGAGAACCUAGAACCCAGUAGGUGUAUAUUUUCAGGAAACUGAGCUCACAGAGAUGUGUAUUAGAAUCCAAGUGGAACUUCUGCCUCUAAAGACCUUGCAAGAAAAGAGAUGUCCUGAAAAUGAAAGGUUGCACCUCAUUUAAUGAAGCUUAACCCUAUGUAGAAAGUCUCUUUCGGGGGCAGAGGCUUUCUCUGGGUGCCAAGCCAUAUAUAUUAGGGAAUAGUAGAUUGUUAUUUCGUUUUUUCCCUCCCAGUGCAUUUUAAAAACAGCACUGGCUGGGGCAUUCUCAUUCUCUGAUGGAGCCAUCAAUGAGAUUUAACUUAGUCAACCUGUGCUAGCAACAUUCUGAAAUUCCUUCAAAGAAGGCAGUCCUUUGGGAAGGUGUUUUUUUUUUUUUUUUUUUUUGACUCUAAUCAACAUUCCUUUUGUUGGUGACAUUUGUGAUUUUCAGUAAUCUGAGUUUUUGAUGGCCUUUUAAACAAGACUCCAGUAUGUGAAGGUUAAUUGCUGUGCUCCACAGAUCUUGUCUAUUGGCCCCUGUAGAAAGUUAACCUUUGUUGUUUUCCUUUUAUAAUUUGCUUAUUGCACAAUUGCUUUAGGGU